rnacentral:tRNA from 4 species
GCCGGCUUAGCUCAGCAGGUAGAGCACUGGCCUGUAAUCAGUAAGCCACCAGUUCGACUCCGGUAGCCGGUACCA